UCUAGAACUCAAGAUACGAGCUGAAAACCGAACAGUGUUUGAGCUGCAGGACAGGUUCCGACUUCUCCGUUGUUGGUAAUAUUUGAACUUGAAAACGGAAGAAUUGAGUCUUGGACUCUUCAUGAAAGUUUUAGGUCUAUGUCUUAGCUUUCCAUC
rfam:Populus trichocarpa scaffold_4_contig_158, whole genome shotgun sequence.